AUUGGGACCGCGAAGCCUAAAGGCAUAAUGAAAGUGAAGGUCGUACUCUAAGGUCGACCGAGGGAGGAUGGGCCGCGUUUACGCGUUGCUCCGCACUCCCGGGGCGUCUCGCUCUCAUUGCGAGAAGAGGCGCACCCAGAGCGUACACGUUGGGACCCGAAAGAUGGUGAACUAUGCCUGGUCAGGACGAAGUCAGGGGAAACCCUGAUGGAGGUCCGUAGCGAUUCUGACGUGCAAAUCGAUCGUCGGAACUGGGUAUAGGGGCGAAAGACUAAUCGAACCAUCUAGUAGCUGGUUCCCUCCGAAGUUUCCCUCAGGAUAGCUGGCACUCGUUCGUUCAUAAUUGAACGUCAAACGAGUCUCAUCUGGUAAAGCGAAUGAUUAGAGGCCUUGGGGCCGAAACGACCUCAACCUAUUCUCAAACUUUAAAUGGGUGAGAUCUCUGGCUUGCUUGAACUAUGAAGCCACGAGAAAAAUUAUAAUAUAAUAUACGGAUCAGAGCGCCAAGUGGGCCAAUUUU
rnacentral:rRNA from 1 species